AUUUCCUUCGGGACUGAUUAUUUUGUGACUGAGUGGCGGACGGGUGAGUAACGCGUGGGUAACCUGCCUUGUACAGGGGGAUAACAGUUGGAAACGGCUGCUAAUACCGCAUAAGCGCACAGCAUCGCAUGAUGCAGUGUGAAAAACUCUGGUGGUAUAAGAUGGACCCGCGUUGGAUUAGCUAGUUGGUGAGGUAACGGCCCACCAAGGCGACGAUCCAUAGCCGACCUGAGAGGGUGACCGGCCACAUUGGGACUGAGACACGGCCCAAACUCCUACGGGAGGCAGCAGUGGGGAAUAUUGCACAAUGGGCGAAAGCCUGAUGCAGCGACGCCCGCGUGAGCGAAGAAAGUAUUUCGGUAUGUAAAGCUCUAUCAGCAGGGAAGAUAAUGACGGUACCUGACUAAGAAGCACCGGCUAAAUACGUGCCAGCAGCCGCGGUAAUACGUAUGGGUGCAAGCGUUAUCCGGAUUUACUGGGUGUAAAGGGAGCGCAGGCGGUGCGGCAAGUCUGAUGUGAAAGCCCGGGGCUCAACCCCGGUACUGCAUUGGAAACUGUCGUACUAGAGUGUCGGAGGGGUAAGCGGAAUUCCUAGUGUAGCGGUGAAAUGCGUAGAUAUUUAGGAGGAACACCAGUGGCGAAGGCGGCUUACUGGACGAUAACUGACGCUGAGGCUCGAAAGCGUGGGGAGCAAACAGGAUUAGAUACCCUGGUAGUCCACGCUGUAAACGAUGAAUACUAGGUGUUGGGAAGCAUUGCUUCUCGGUGCCGUCGCAAACGCAGUAAGUAUUCCACCUGGGGA
rnacentral:rRNA from 1 species